GGGGUGUACUUUUGUGAUUUUCGUUCCCACUUGAAGUUCUCGAAAAUGUACAUGAACACGCACAUUGUAUUGAAAUAAUUGGCAGCAGGUACUACUGGACUAAUGAAUUUACGACGGUAUUGACGGUGUUUUUGUGAUGGACUGAAUCGAUUUGCAUCGUGAUGGACUCCUAUGUUAUGACAUAAUCGGUAUGUAACUUUUAUUUUUAAAAUUAACACUUGUAAGCAUCGACAUUAUUAAAUAUUAACUGGUUUCAAUGGCUAUUUUUAGAUGCAAUGUGCUGCCAAUGUGUGUGAUGCUACGGCAUCCACAAUAAAUUAAUUAUGUAUCGAAUUAUAAUCAAACUACAGUUUGUCUGGCCUCUAAUUUACAAUAAUUGAAUAGGUGAUGACACAAACUAUAUUUUUAUUAACCAAUUUUUGCCGUACAUUGAUUUUUAUCAUUUCAAAAUUAAAUUUUGACAAUUAUGUAAUGAUAACAUGUCACUCUUUCAAAAAGCUAGUAAUAUAGUAUGGUAUUCACCGUUAUAAUCAUACUACUCAUUGACAUUCUAUCCUAUAUAUUGUAUUCAUGAUAAUGAUCGUCCGAGAUGUGACCAAGUGACAUGAAUAAAAAUAAGAAAUGGAAAGCCCCGCACGAGAUUAUGAACAUUUUUUCUCUUUGUUUCUGUAUGUAAAAUAAAAAGUUUGUAACGUCACAA